UACGUAGGUGGCAAGCGUUGUCCGGAAUUAUUGGGCGUAAAGAGCUCGUAGGCGGUUUGUCGCGUCUGCUGUGAAAACUCGAGGCUCAACCUCGGGCUUGCAGUGGGUACGGGCAGACUAGAGUGCGGUAGGGGUGACUGGAAUUCCUGGUGUAGCGGUGGAAUGCGCAGAUAUCAGGAGGAACACCGAUGGCGAAGGCAGGUCACUGGGCCGCAACUGACGCUGAGGAGCGAAAGCAUGGGGAGCGAACAGG
rnacentral:rRNA from 1 species